ensembl:snRNA U6 U6 spliceosomal RNA
GUACUUGCUUUGGCAGCACAUACCCUAAAACUGGAAUGAUACAGAGAUUAGCAUGGCUCUUGUGCAAGGAUGACACACAAAUUUGUGAAGUGUUCCAUAUUUAA